GCUUCUUCGUCCCUCUCCUUUCUCGUGCGUGCGCGGCUCCUCCGUCCUAGGGUUUCCCUCUUCUCUCCUCUCACCUUCUCCGGCUUAUUCCAAACCCUAGAAACCUUAGAAUCAUCCAUGGCGGCGGCGGCGGCGGCGGCGGCGGCGGCGGCGGCGCCGAUGGCCACCGGGGCUGCAUCGGCCCAGUCGGUGCAGUGCUUUGGCCGCAAGAAAACCGCGGUGGCGGUGACGCACUGCAAGCCGGGGCGCGGGCUGAUCAAGGUGAACGGGAGCCCGAUCGAGCUGGUGAAGCCGGAGAUCCUCCGGUACAAGGCGUUCGAGCCGAUCCUCCUCCUCGGCCGCUCCCGCUUCGCCGGCGUCGACAUGCGCAUACGCGUCCGCGGCGGCGGCAAGACCUCGCAGAUCUACGCCAUCCGCCAGAGCAUCGCCAAGGCCCUCGUCGCCUACUACCAGAAGUACGUCGACGAGCAGUCCAAGAAGGAGAUCAAGGACAUCCUCGUCCGCUACGACCGCACCCUCCUCGUCGCCGACCCCCGCCGCUGCGAGCCCAAGAAGUUCGGCGGUCGCGGCGCCCGCGCCCGCUUCCAGAAGUCGUACCGUUAGAGGAGAUCACACUCCUCUCCUCUUCUCGCAUCGGAGGAGCGAUCGGGGUCGGAUUGGGGAGAUCCGUUCGUUGCUUUUACUUGUCUUCUCAGAUGGAUCAAAUUUGUGAGAGAUGCGCUUUUUCGUUUUUAAUUUUGGAGCUUUUCUUACCAUUAGGGUUUUUGGUGAAAUCUAGUUUACUGCUUUGAUGCUUGCUUAAUUAUUUAGACCUGAUGAUGGUUAUGUAAGGCUAUUUAUCAGUUGAAUGUUAUUCUGAUGAUGAAUAUUCCAAUGGUAUGUUGGAUUUUAAGUAUGUGGUAUUUGAAUCGGUUUACUGUUUUGUUUUUUA